rnacentral:misc_RNA from 1 species
AGUGAGUUCACUAUUGCUUUGAUGUAACCCGGGAUACUCAUCAACCCGACCUGUUUGAUUCAAAAAAUCCGUACUCAUCUGUUCCAUCUUCAUCUCACCGGAUGUCGGCAGUGUUUCUACCAUCUUCGUCUCUGUAUUCCAUUGCUCGUUUGAGUUUUGGUUCUCCGGCAAUCGGUAAGCCGGGAUAUCAACCAUGUUGAAUGGAUCAUUUGAUGACGUCAUCAUGUUUGUGAAGUUUCCGAUGUCCUGAAACUGAUCUUCGACUGAGUUCUCCAUUAAUGGCUGAUCAUCGAAGGUUUGGUUAGUACUGUGAGGUAUGAAGAAAUUGGAAUCUGGAAAGUUGAGAUAAGUGGAAGCAGAGUUGGAAGAAGUUGCCGACACAUCUUCUGUAGUUGCGGCGCCGGGGGUAUUCGCCGUUGCUGCCGCUGCCGCUGUUGUUGUAGCAGUAAGACUGGAACUCUCACUACUAGAAUUAGUAUCAGACUUAGGUUCCUCCGGUGUGUCGUCGGCAGUAGUCGAUUUCGGCUUUGAACGCUUGCUUUUCCGGCAACCACCACCGACGGGGACGUUACGGAGUACGCCGCCUUUAGUCCAGUACCUCCGGCAACUCUUGCAGAAGUGACGUGGCUGAGAGAGAUUAUAGUUGUUAUAGUAACAGAAUUUAGUGUUGAGCGAAUCGCAACGAGGACACUUUAAUGCUUGGUGAUUUUGGUGGUUAUUAGGCCUUAGUCUCCGAUCACCAGCACCGCCCAAAAACCGCCCUCCUCCACCUCCAAUCGGAUGUAUAUCUUGCAUAUCUCAAUUUUACCUAAACACCGGAAAAAAUGGCUGUAAAAAUCUUAGAUCAUAAUUUCCCGGCGAGAUUUCACAUUUGCCGACAUCUGAAUCUGCAAC